CUCCUGCGAGAGAGAACCUCGCUCAACCUCGAUCCUCGACGUGCUCCCUCCUUGCCCUGCUCCCUCAUCGUCGUCCUCCUCAUCAUCAUCUCUGCGUCUUGCUCGCCCUUAACUCCAUCCUGCUCGCCCUCAUCUGGAACCCAUCUGUAGUAUUUUAAGAGAAGAUGAGAAGAUUUCACGUGCGUAAGAAGAGGAGCAUAAACGGAAGGCUAAGGCCUAAGGCUACUGGAUUUUGUAAAUUAUGGAGAUCUACUUUGGAAUGCUAUACUAUAGUUCACUGGCAUUUUGUAAAAUAUCCUGGAUGAAAGUUUAGUGAAUGAUGUUUUAAGAGUCAAUCAAUGGCAAAGAUUGACUUGUCACAAGUAUCUUCUUAUGUACUUGUAUUUGUUGAAGUUGCAUGUAUUGGGCACUAUUCUUUUUCUUAUUUUGGGUGAUAGAGUUUAAAUCAAGUUACAUUUGCAAAUUAAACUCAACUAUUUAUAAAUAGUAUGUCCCA
rnacentral:sRNA from 1 species